GUCGCUGAUAGGCGCAGGAAGAUGCUACGGGUGCACGGGCGCGGACUAGGCAGAUAGAUUACUCUCCGCAACGACAAGCGGACGCAUGCUAAAUGCAAAGUGUAACCGACUCUUUGAAGAGAUAAUGCAUGAUAGUCAGUUCCACUGCAGUCCCGGCGGAGGUGGUCAUGGGGUACCACGAUGAUCAAUCUGCAACUAUCCCUGAAGCUUCCGGCUCAUAAUACAAAUUCUACUUCCGUUUACCUGUCCUAUAUGGGGUGUACGAGUGAAUUGAUGAAACGCUGCAGCCUGACGAGUCACGCAACCAUAUGAGAUCCAUAACGUUUCUGUCACCACCAGGUCCAGUCUGGGAACAGGAGCCGUUAGGUAGUAGUUGGAGACGACUUGUGUAUUCGGUAGCUGAACGGUCGACUCAGUAUUCUGAAGUGUUACGAUGGAGGGAAAUCCCCUUCUGAGAAUGCACGCAUGUAGUAGAUAGUCGUGUAGCCACCAUGGAACAGAACCUCAUCGAGGCUCGAGCAAGACAAAAAAUGUCUGAUCUUGGUACCCGCUGCCGUCGGGGUCUCCUCGUGGAAUUCGUCGAUGCUUGCUACUCGGCGUGACUCUAAGGAAAGCAGCUCCUCUCAUCAUUUGAUGCCUACGGAAAGAGCUACCCCUGCGAAAAACAGGUGCCUGCAGGACACCCAUUACAGUGCCUUUAGACCAGGUAGUGACCGUGUAGGCGGUCCUUGCCCUGCUCCCUCCGUUUGUAAAAGCGGACACUAAACUGCACUGCAACAUCGAUAAAUUGUCCCAGGUCCCGUGACCGGCAUUCAUACAAAGUUAGUGGUUGAGUUGGAACAACCACUACCUUUCGCAGUCACUGGGAGUCAAGGUUAGAGCACGAAAGUGCCAUUACAGGGGAGCCGGUACCGAGCAGCUACAGACGAAAAUAGCAUCCGCCGUAGGAGCUGCAAGUGCACAGUGAAACUCCUAAGCAUGAGCGGCAUGUCACCCCUCUGCCUCGGCAAUCUAUGGGGCUAUCACGAAGGCUCGUAACGGGCCACAUUGAUGACAGAAGAACCCUCGCAGCUAACCGUGUGGUGAGGUUUCCAACCCAAAAGGUGCCAUGUGGAUUUUUGUGCCACAGAAUAGACACAACAUUAAUGAUGCGGCCUA
rnacentral:lncRNA from 1 species